GAGGAUCAAAUGUUGUGGUGAUGUCAAGGCAGAUAGAAUCUUUGUGGUGUCCAGGGGUUGAUAGCCCAUACACCAGGACAGGUAUAUAAAGGGCUGCGUGGUGACAAGGUACAAGGGCCAGAGCAGCCUGGAGGCAACCAGCCACAGGCGCGGAACAGGACCGGUUGAGACCACAGCGCACUCUGGUCCUCAGCCACUCAGAGACAUUCACUACCUUCUAUAAGGACACAGCAGAUGCAGGCCCAGACAGCAAAUGAGCUGGACCAUGGCGCACUCCCGUCCUCAGUCACACAGCAUGAGAUUCGCUUCAUUCUAGGAAGAACGCUGAUACAAAGUUAAGUGAUCAGUCAGAGCCCCGGGCAGGGGUGGCCCAUGUGAACGAGAGUGGCUGCUGCCUUUGCUUGUUGUCCUUCCAAUUGCAGCCGCAAGCCAUGACCCGGAGUGGACCAGACCAUGCUGCACUCCUGUCCUCAGACGCACAGAGGGAGAGACUGGCAGACGAGCUUGUUGACAUGCUGUUGGGAAGAAUGAGGACAUUGACAGUGACAGGACACAGUUGAAAAUGUAACUACUUGACCGACACAGGCCCAGAUGGACAGGACCAGACCACUGUGUGCUCCCUGCCUUCUCUCAGCAGCUGCUCAACCAGAGAUUUCUGUAGCCUUCAACAACAAGGAAGCCACUGACCUAAGGACAAGGAAGUACAGCCAGCCUCAGCCUGCACCUCACUGUGUUCCCUCAGGAGCUGGAGGCCAUUGGCAAGGGGAGCUCCGUGCCACUCACCCUCUCUGUGAAAUUGACCUGAAAUAAAUUUUUCUGAUUCGUGA